AGUGCUCAUUGUACUUUCGGGUUGAACAGUGUCUUCCCCAAAGUGAUGUCCUUUCCUGAAGGGCGCCUGGGGAAUCUUCCUGACGCAGGGGUUGAACUGGCGUCUCCUGAAUCGUAGAUAGUCUCCUGCAUUGCAGGUGGAUGCUUUACCGCUGAGCCACCAGAGGAGCCCAUGCGUGUGUGUGAGCAAACCUCAAACCCAUGGCAGUUCCUGCAACCCUGCUGUGCUACCUACCUUCUAGCAGCCUUGGUGGAAUGGAGGUGAAGUCUCAGAAAGGGCUUGGAUUCUGAGAUGGCUUGUGCCCUUGUGGGAGACUGGUAUUCUCCAGUGAACCGUGGGUCUUGGAACACAGACUCUUGGGUGGCCCUUCCCACGGUAACACAGGACUUGGUCAUGUGAGUUACUCUGGCCAAUGUCACAACAGAAAGCAGACAGAGGCUAGAUAAGUGCUAGUAUUCUGAGGACUGGUUCUCUUGGGAGCCUCUCUUGGCUGUUGGGCAGCAGGCUCCAGUUGAUUACCCAAUGAUGAGAUGCCACAUGUACUGACAGCCUUUGUGCUCAGAGACCAUCUUUCAGGGACUUGCCUGGUGGUCCAGUGGCUAAGACUCUGUGCUCCCAAUGCAGGGGGCCUGAGUUCGAUCCCUGGUCUAGAGAACUAGACCCCACAUGCUGAAACUAAAAUCUUCCGUGCUGCAGCUAAAGACCCCAAAUGCCUCAAUGAAGAUCAACGAUCCUGAGUGCCGUGAUUAAGACCCAGCACAGCCAAAUAAAAAAAUAAAGAUUUUAAAAAGAGAGAGACCAUCUUGGAAGUCCCAACCCAGCCAAGCACCCGCAUGAAUGCAGCCAGAGGAGUGACCACAGCUACAUCCCCUGGAGCUAAACUCAAAACACCCA
ensembl:lncRNA